rnacentral:rRNA from 1 species
UACGUAGGGGGCAAGCGUUAUCCGGAAUUACUGGGCGUAAAGCGCACGCAGGCGGUUCGCCAAGUUUGGAGUGACAGUUGUCGGCUCAACCGACAAAGGACUUCAAAAACUGGUGAACUUGAGGACGAGAGAGGAACAUGGAACUCCAGGUGUAGUAGUGAAAUGCGUAGAUAUCUGGAAGAACACCAAUGGCGAAGGCAAUGUUCUGGCUCGUUUCUGACGCUCAGGUGCGAAAGCGUGGGGAUCAAACAGG